rnacentral:rRNA from 1 species
CAGUCGCCGCGGUAAUACGAAGGGGGCUAGCGUUGUUCGGAAUUACUGGGCGUAAAGCGCACGUAGGCGGACUUUUAAGUCAGGGGUGAAAUCCCGGGGCUCAACCUCGGAACUGCCUUUGAUACUGGAAGUCUUGAGUGUAGAAGAGGUAAGUGGAAUUGCGAGUGUAGAGGUGAAAUUCGUAGAUAUUCGCAGGAACACCAGUGGCGAAGGCGGCUUACUGGUCCACAUCUGACGCUGAGGUGCGAAAGCGUGGGGAGCAAACAGGAUUAGAUACCCCCGUAGUCCCUGUCUCUUAUAC